rnacentral:rRNA from 1 species
UGGUCAUCUAGUGGCGAACGGGUGAGUAACACGCUGGGUAACCUGCCCAUCAGAGGGGGAUAACAUCCGGAAACGGAUGCUAAAACCGCAUAGAUCUUCGAGCCGCAUGGCUUGAAGAGGAAAAGAGGCGCAAGCUUCUGCUGAUGGAUGGACCCGCGGUGCAUUAGCUAGUUGGUGAGGUAACGGCUCACCAAGGCCGUGAUGCAUAGCCGACCUGAGAGGGUGAUCGGCCACAUUGGGACUGAGACACGGCCCAAACUCCUACGGGAGGCAGCAGUAGGGAAUCUUCCGCAAUGGACGCAAGUCUGACGGAGCAACGCCGCGUGAGUGAAGAAGGUUUUCGGAUCGUAAAACUCUGUUGUUAGAGAAGAACAAGUGCUAGAGUAACUGUUAGCGCCUUGACGGUAUCUAACCAGAAAGCCACGGCUAACUACGUGCCAGCAGCCGCGGUAAUACGUAGGUGGCAAGCGUUGUCCGGAUUUAUUGGGCGUAAAGCGAGCGCAGGCGGUUCCUUAAGUCUGAUGUGAAAGCCCCCGGCUCAACCGGGGGAGGGUC